rnacentral:rRNA from 1 species
CCUACGUGAGGCAGCAGUGAGGAAUAUUGGUCAAUGGGCGCGAGCCUGAACCAGCCAAGUAGCGUGAAGGAUGACUGCCCUACGGGUUGUAAACUUCUUUUAUAAAGGAAUAAAGUGAGGCACGUGUGCCUUUUUGUAUGUACUUUAUGAAUAAGGAUCGGCUAACUCCGUGCCAGCAGCCGCGGUAAUACGGAGGAUCCGAGCGUUAUCCGGAUUUAUUGGGUUUAAAGGGAGCGUAGAUGGGUUGUUAAGUCAGUUGUGAAAGUUUGCGGCUCAACCGUAAAAUUGCAAUUGAUACUGGCAGUCUUGAGUACAUUUGAGGUAGGCGGAAUUCGUGGUGUAGCGGUGAAAUGCUUAGAUAUCACGAAGAACUCCGAUUGCGAAGGCAGCUUACUAAACUGCCACUGACAUUGAUGCUCGAAAGUGUGGGUAUCAAACAGGAUUAGAUACCCUUGUAGUC